UUCGAGUGCAAGUUAAACAAAACCGUUCGUACACCGCGGUAACUCGCAGUUGGCCUUACUCGGGCGACGGAGCACAUCCUCUGGUGUCCCGUCGACACGGCCCAGCCCGAUACAUUGACAUGAUUUUACUGGACAUAUAGAUGUUUUGGAAGGUUUCAUUCCUAUUGUAUGUCUCCGGUCUAAUAAUGAAAAUAUUCGAACCAGCAGGACGUUUUGAAUUUGUUCAUUGAGAAAAAUGCCCUGUGACAUUUAUAUUGGAUCAGACUUCGAUUUUAAUUCAUACUCUUGACAAAUACCAAUAAAUCUGAUGGGUCGUCCUGUAAAUUUGAA